UUUCUCCUCGCUGCCCGCACAUCCUGCUCCACAGGACAGAGAGAGGCCAAGAAGACCUCUGUGCUGUGAGUUGCCCAGUGGAGGGA
ensembl:miRNA predicted gene, 23156